CCUACGGGGGGCUGCAGUGGGGAAUAUUGGACAAUGGGGGCAACCCUGAUCCAGCCAUGCCGCGUGUGUGAAGAAGGCCCUCGGGUUGUAAAGCACUUUCAGUGAGGAAGAACGCCUGGUGGUUAAUACCCAUCAGGAAAGACAUCACUCACAGAAGAAGCACCGGCUAACUCCGUGCCAGCAGCCGCGGUAAUACGGAGGGUGCGAGCGUUAAUCGGAAUUACUGGGCGUAAAGCGCGCGUAGGUGGCUUGAUAAGCCGGUUGUGAAAGCCCCGGGCUCAACCUGGGAACGGCAUCCGGAACUGUCAAGCUAGAGUGCAGGAGAGGAAGGUAGAAUUCCCGGUGUAGCGGUGAAAUGGGUAGAGAUCGGGAGGAAUACCAGUGGCGAAGGCGGCCUUCUGGACUGACACUGACACUGAGGUGCGAAAGCGUGGGUAGCAAACAGGAUUAGAUACCCUGGUAGUC
rnacentral:rRNA from 1 species